AUUGAACGCUGGCGGCAGGCCUAACACAUGCAAGUCGAGCGGUAGAGAGGUGCUUGCAUCUCUUGAGAGCGGCGGACGGGUGAGUAAUGCCUAGGAAUCUGCCUAGUGGUGGGGGAUAACGUUCGGAAACGGACGCUAAUACCGCAUACGUCCUACGGGAGAAAGCGGGGGAUCUUCGGACCUCGCGCCAUUAGAUGAGCCUAGGUCGGAUUAGCUAGUUGGUGAGGUAAUGGCUCACCAAGGCGACGAUCCGUAACUGGUCUGAGAGGAUGAUCAGUCACACUGGAACUGAGACACGGUCCAGACUCCGUACGGGAGGCAGCAGGUGGGGAAUAUUGGACAAGUGGGACGAAAGCCUGAUCCAGCCAUGCCGCGUGUGUGAAGAAGGUC
rnacentral:rRNA from 1 species